rnacentral:rRNA from 1 species
GAUGAACGCUGGCGGCGUGCUUAACACAUGCAAGUCGAACGAACGACUAUUAACAGAACCUUUCGGGGCGAAGAUGAUAGAAGUUAGUGGCGGACGGGUGCGUAACGCGUGGGUAAUCUGCCUUUGUCAAAGGAAUAACUAUUCGAAAGAAUAGCUAAAACCGUAUAACAUAUUAAUAGGGCAUCCUAAUAAUAUCAAAACGAUAGUGGACAAAGAUGAGCCCGCGUCUGAUUAGCUAGUUGGUGAGAUAAAAGCCCACCAAGGCAACGAUCAGUAGCCGACCUGAGAGGGUGAACGGCCACAUUGGAACUGAGACACGGUCCAAACUCCUACGGGAGGCAGCAGUGGGGAAUAUUGCACAAUGGGGGGAACCCUGAUGCAGCAACGCCGCGUGAGUGAAGAAGGCAUUCGUGUCGUAAAACUCUGUAGUAGGGGAAGAAAGAAAUGACAGUACCCUAAAAGAAAGCCCCGGCUAACUACGUGCCAGCAGCCGCGGUAAUACGUAGGGGGCAAGCGUUAUCCGGAAUAACUGGGCGUAAAGGGUGCGCAGGUGGUUUAACAAGUUAGUGGUGAAAGGCAUAGGCCCAACCAAUGUAAGCCAUUAAAACUGUUUAACUUGAGUGCAGGAGAGGAAAGUGGAAUUCCUAGUGUAGCGGUGAAAUGCGUAGAUAUUAGGAGGAAUACCAGUGGCGAAGGCGACUUUCUGGACUGCAACUGACACUGAGGCACGAAAGCGUGGGGAGCAAACAGG